rnacentral:rRNA from 1 species
GAGUUUGAUCCUGGCUCAAGAUGAACGCUGGCGGCGUGCCUAACACAUGCAAGUCGAACGGACUUAUAACGAAACCUAGUGAAUUAUAAGUUAGUGGCGGACGGGUGAGUAACGCGUGGAAAACCUGCCGUAUACUGGGGGAUAACACUUAGAAAUAGGUGCUAAUACCGCAUAAGCGCACAGCUUCGCAUGAAGCAGUGUGAAAAACUCCGGUGGUAUACGAUGGUUCCGCGUCUGAUUAGCUAGUUGGUGAGGUAAAAGCCCACCAAGGCAACGAUCAGUAGCCGGCCUGAGAGGGUGAACGGCCACAUUGGGACUGAGACACGGCCCAGACUCCUACGGGAGGCAGCAGUGGGGGAUAUUGCACAAUGGGGGAAACCCUGAUGCAGCGACGCCGCGUGAGUGAAGAAGUAUUUCGGUACGUAAAGCUCUAUCAGCAGGGAAGAAUAAUGACGGUACCUGACUAAGAAGCCCCGGCUAACUACGUGCCAGCAGCCGCGGUAAUACGUAGGGGGCAAGCGUUAUCCGGAUUUACUGGGUGUAAAGGGAG